rnacentral:rRNA from 1 species
GAUGAACGCUGGCGGCGUGCUUAACACAUGCAAGUCGAACGAGAAAUGGAGACGGAAACCUUCGGGCGGAAGGCUUCAUUUCGAGUGGCGGACGGGUGAGUAACGCGUGGGUAACCUGCCUCAUACAGGGGGAUAACAGUUGGAAACGACUGUUAAUACCGCAUAAGACCACAGCACCGCAUGGUGCGGGGGUAAAAACUCCGGUGGUAUGAGAUGGACCCGCGUUCGAUUAGCCAGUUGGCGGGGUAACGGCCCACCAAAGCGACGAUCGAUAGCCGAUCUGAGAGGAUGCCCGGCCACAUUGGGACUGAGACACGGCCCACACUCCUACGGGAGGCAGCAGUGGGGAAUAUUGCACAAUGGGGGAAACCCUGAUGCAGCGACGCCGCGUGAGUGAAGAAGUACUUCGGUAUGUAAAGCUCUAUCAGCAGGGAAGAAAAUGACGGUACCUGAGUAAGAAGCCCCGGCUAACUACGUG